rnacentral:rRNA from 1 species
CUGCAACUCGACUACAUGAAGCCGGAAUCGCUAGUAAUCGCGGAUCAGAAUGCCGCGGUGAAUACGUUCCCGGGUCUUGUACACACCGCCCGUCACACCAUGGAAGCCGGAAAUGCCCGAAGUCAGUGACCCAACCAAUAAGGAGGGAGCUGCCGAAGGCAGGUCUGGUGACUGGGGUGAAGUCGUAACAAGGUAUC